UACGGAGGGGGCUAGCGUUGUUCGGAAUUACUGGGCGUAAAGCGCACGUAGGCGGCUUUGUAAGUUAGAGGUGAAAGCCCGGGGCUCAACUCCGGAAUUGCCUUUAAGACUGCAUCGCUAGAAUUGUGGAGAGGUAAGUGGAAUUCCGAGUGUAGAGGUGAAAUUCGUAGAUAUUCGGAAGAACACCAGUGGCGAAGGCGGCUAUCUGGACCGUAACUGACGCUGAGGCGCGGAAAAGCGUGGGGGAGCAAACAGG
rnacentral:rRNA from 1 species